rnacentral:sRNA from 1 species
UAAGUACCUACAAUCUAUGGAUGCACC